rnacentral:rRNA from 1 species
UUCCGGUUGAUCCUGCCGGAGGCUACCGCUAUUGGAGUUCGAUUAAGCCAUGCGAGUCGCGAGAAAUUAGAUUCUCGGCGUACCGCUCAGUAACACGUGGGUAACCUGCCCUAUGCUGGAUAAUAACCUCGGGAAACUGAGAAUAAUGAUCCAUAGUUCACUACGCCUGGAACGGUGAGUGGAUGAAAGCCCCGGCGGCAUAGGAUGGGCCUGCGGCGUAUCAGGUUGUAGGGGGUGUAACGUACCCUCUAGCCCUCUACGCGUACGGGUGUUGGGAGACAUAGCCCGGAGAUGGAUUCUGAGACACGAAUCCAGACCCUACGGGGUGCAGCAGGCGCGAAAACUUCACACUGCAGGAAACUGUGAUGAGGGAACUCCAAGUGCAUCCACUAUGUGGAUGCUUUUUUUGACUAUUAAUCGGUCAACGAAUAAGGGCUGGGAAAGACCGGUGCCAGCCGCCGCGGUAAUACCGGCAGCUCAAGUGGUCGUCGCUUUUAUUGGGCCUAAAACGUCCGUAGCCUGUUUGGUAAAUCUGUGGGUAAAUCAACCAGCUUAACUGGUUGAAUUCUGCGAGGACGGUCAGACUUGGGACCGGGAGAGGUGUGGGGUACGCUCAGGGUAGGGGUAAAAUCCUGUCAUCCUGAGCGGACCACCUGUUGCGAAGGCGCCACACUAGAACGGAUCCGACGGUCAGGGACGAAGCCUAGGGGCACGAACCGGAUUAGAUACCCGGGUAGUCCUAGGUGUAAACGCUGUGGACUUGAUGUUGGGGGUGCUCCGAGCACUCUCAGUGUCGAAGCGAAGGUGAUAAGUCCACUGCCUGGGAAGUACGGUCGCAAGGCUGAAACUUAAAGGAAUUGGCGGGGGAGCACCGCAACCUGAGGAUUGUGCGGUUUAAUUGGAUCAACGCCGGA